GACGAACGCUGGCGGCGUGCCUAAUACAUGCAAGUAGAACGCUGAAGGAGGAGCUUGCUUCUCUGGAUGAGUUGCGAACGGGUGAGUAACGCGUAGGUAACCUGCCUGGUAGCGGGGGAUAACUAUUGGAAACGAUAGCUAAUACCGCAUAAGAGUAGAUGUUGCAUGACAUUUGCUUAAAAGGUGCAAUUGCAUCACUACCAGAUGGACCUGCGUUGUAUUAGCUAGUUGGUGGGGUAACGGCUCACCAAGGCGACGAUACAUAGCCGACCUGAGAGGGGGAUCGGCCACACUGGGAAUGAGACACGGCCCAGACUCCUACGGGAGGCAGCAGUAGGGAAUCUUUGGCAAUGGACGGAAGUCUGACCGAACAACGCCGCGUGAGUGAAGAAGGGUUUCGGAGCGUAAAGCUCUGUUGUAAGAGAAGAACGAGUGUGAGGGUGGAAAGUUCACACUGUGACGGUACCUUACCAGAAAGGGACGGCUAACUACGUG
rnacentral:rRNA from 1 species